GAGCUCUUUCAUGGGGUCGAGUUGUUUAGAGGACUUGAUAGUCCUAGCAGCUUCUCUGGCCUUUUUGUGCCUCACUUUUCAGAGCCCAGUGUCGUUCUUUUCUCUGGAGUCAGGAAGCCCCUCCAGAAUUUUUUAUUUUUUUUCCCACUGACCAAGGUCCAGAACAGGGAGUGUGGACACAGGAAUCAAGGAAUGUUCUGCAGUGGGCUGUCUUCUAACUUCCUGAUAUAGACGUCCAGCAUGCCUUGCUGAUUGAUGAUGUUCAUGGAGAUGAAGCCAUCCUUUCAGGACCAUGGUGUGCCUGAAAUGACACCGCAUUCUGUCGGAUCAGCUGGCGCCACCCAGACCAGAAAUCUGACUCAACUAGUUCAGGAACUGAAGACAGAAAGAACUACCCCUUCACUCCAGAGACGGGGUUUCACCAUGUUGCCCAGGCUGGUCUUGAAGAACUGUUGAGCUCAAGCAGUCCACCUACCUUGGCCUCCCAAAGUGCUGGGAUUACAGGUAUCACGGUUACAUUUAUACAUACCGAGUGUCCCAGACAGAAACAGGUUCUUGGAGUGCUGAGACAGCACCUGGGGUACAUAAAAGAUAUUUCCGGAAAAUAAAAAAUCUCAUUUCAGCAUUUCAGAAGCCAGAUCAAGGCAUUGUAAUACCUCUGCAGUAUCCAGUUGAGAAGAAGUCCUCAGCUAGAAGUACACAAGGUACUACAGGGAUAAGAGAAGAUCCUGAUGUCUGCCUGAAAGCCCCAUGAAGAAAAAUAAAACACCUUGUACUUUAUUUUCUAUAAUUUAAAUAUAUGCUAAGUCUUAUAUAUUGUAGAUAAUACAGUUCGGUGAGCUACAAAUGCAUUUCUAAAGCCAUUGUAGUCCUGUAAUGGAAGCAUCUAGCAUGAUGUCAAAGCUGAAAUGGACUUUUGUACAUAGUGAGGAGCUUUGAAAUGAGGAUUGGGAAAAAGUAAUUCCAUAGGUUAUUUUCAGUUAUUAUAUUUACAAAUGGGAAACAAUUUAAAGGAUAAUGAAUACUUUGUAAAGGAUUAAUGUCAAUUCUUGCCAAAUAUAAAUAAAAAUAAUCCUCAGUUUUUGUGAAAAGCUCCAUUUUUAGUGAAAUAUUAUUUUAUAGUUACUAAUUUUAAAAUAUCUUGCUUGAUUGUAUGGUGGGAAGUUGGCUGGUGUCCCUUGUCUUUGCCAAGUUCUCCACUAGCUAUGGUGUCAUAGGCUCUUUUGGGAUUUUUGAAGCUGUAUACUGUGUGCUAAAACAAGCACUAGAAAAAGAGUGAAGGAUUUAUGUUUAAUUCUGAAAACAACCUUCUUGCCUAGCGUUCUGAUGUUGGACAGUAAAAUCCACAGACCAACCUGGAGUUGCAAAUCUUAUAAUUUAAAAUAUGCUCUAAACAUGUUUAUCGUAUUUGAUGCUACAGGAUUUGAAAUUGUAUUACAAAUCCAAUGAAAUGAGUUUUUCUUUUCAUUUACCUCUGCCCCAGUUGUUUCUACUACAUGGAAGACCUCAUUUUGAAGGGAAACUUCAGCAGCUGCAGCUCAUGAAUAACUGAUUUGUAACCAGCCUCCUUUUAAAGUAACCCUACAAAACCACUGGAAAGUUUAUGGUUAUAUUAUUUUUUUAAAAAAUUCCAAGUGAUUGAAACCUACAUGAGAGUCAGAAUUUUAUGCGGCAUUUUCUUCUCACAUUUAUAUUUUUGUGAUUUUGUGAUUGAUUAUAUGUCACUCUGCUACAGGGCUCACAGAAUUCAUUCACUCAACAAACAUAAUAGGGCGCUGAGGGCAUAGAAGUAAAAACACCUGGUCCCUGCUCUCAGUUCACUGUCUUGUUGGACGAGAAAACAAUAACGAUAAAAGACAGUGAAAGAAAAUAACAAUAAAAGACGAGGAAAAAAUAACAAUGAAAGUUGAUAAGUACACGAUAAGUGAGGUUCCCCGUGUGUAGGUAGAUCUGGUCUUUAGAGGCAGAUAGACCUGGUCUUUAGAGGCAGAACGAGUCAGUGCAAAUACUCUGGUCCAUGGGCCAUAUGAAAAGGCUAAGCUUCACUGUAAAAUAAUAACUUGGAAUUCUGGGUUGUGUAUGAGUGUUGGUGAACUUGGUUUUAAUUAGUGAACUGCUGAGAGACAGAGCUACUCUCCAUGUACUGGCAAGACCUGAUUUCUGAGCAUUUAAUAUGGAUGCUGUGGGAGUACAAAAGUGGAGUGUGACCUGAGUAAUGCAUUAUGGGUGAUUUACCAUUUCUUGAGGUAAAAGCAUCACGUUAACUUGUAAAGGAAUUUAGAAAUCCUACUUUCAUAAUAAGUUGCAUAGGUUUAAUAAUUUUAAAUUAUAUGCCUUGAGUUUAAAUUGUAAUAGGUGUAACUAAUUUUAACUCUAUAAUGUGUUCAUUCUGGAAUAAUCCUAAACAUAUGAAUUAUGUUUGCAUGUUCACUUCCAAGAACCUUUUUUUGAAAAAAAGCUUUUUUUGAAUCAUCAAGUCUUUCACAUUUAAAUAAAGUGUUUGAAAGCUUUAUUUACCUAAUUUGUCUUGAAAUAUUCCUUAUAAUUCCUUA
rnacentral:sRNA from 1 species